CAUUAAGAAGCUAUGUAACAGCACUAGCCUUUUAAGCUGGAGAAAGAGGACACCAACACCUCCUUAAUGA
rnacentral:tRNA from 1 species